UCACUUAAUCUUAAGCUUCCUUCUCUCUCCUGCCUCCCAGUGUUGCACUUGGCAUGAGUCUUCAUGCUGGGAUUGCCUCCUGAUGUGAAAAAAGCCAAGGUCCAAAGAGCAUCUUUCUCUAAGUGCAGCUUGUACAGGCAGCAGGCUGUUUUGCUGAGCUUUAUUGUGACCCAUGUUAUUCCAGUUUGAAAUCUCCAGUAGCUGAAGAACGUAGUUAUACCAGAGGCUCCCAAUCAUCAGAGGGUCUUGAGUCUGGCUCAAAGUCAUGCCAUUCCAUCAGCUGUACUCGAGGGCAGAUACUGGAAGACCCCCUAUUCAGAGAUUUGGCCCUUGUGACUUGGGUCAAAUAGAAACAACUGAGUAUGCACUCCUCCACUGCCUGUUCUGCAGGGACAUUCGAUCUAGACUCAUCGUGCCUUUGCUAUGCUUACCCAAGCCAGUAAGGACAAUUUUACACCAACUUGCUGCUCUCAGAUACCACCCCGGUUACAAGCUAUAAUGCUGCCAAGUUUUGUGCAGUCAGUUUGGCUUAUUUAUGGAGGAAAGGGGGCUGCAUUAAUCCUACAGGAGACCUCAAAGGGCUGUAAUAUCCAAUGCACCUGCUAAAAAUUUUUGGUCCUAAAUGUCCACCAAGAACAUUCUCACCAUGUUUUGGGGGAUGCUUGGAUCAUUAGAAGGCAUUUUGAGUUGUUCUGAGGCAAACAUUUGCUUUGUCUCCUUUAGAAUCAUUAUUCCCCAUUUCAUUUAAUCAGUAAAACUAAUUAAAACA